rnacentral:rRNA from 1 species
AUUGAACGCUGGCGGCAGGCCUAACACAUGCAAGUCGAACGAGUGGCGGACGGGUGAGUAAUGUCUGGGAAACGGCCUGGUGGAGGAGGAUAACUACUGGAAACGGUAGCUGAUAACGCAUACCAUAGGAUGUGCCCAGAUGGGAUGAGCGAGUAGGUGGGGUAAAGGCUUACCUAGGCGACGAUCCCUAGCUGGUCUGAGAGGAUGACCAGCCACACUGGAACUGAGACACGGUCCAGACUCCUACGGGAGGCAGCAGUGGGGAAUAUUGCACAAUGGGCGCAAGCCUGAUGCAGCCAUGCCGCGUGUAUGAAGAAGGCCUUCGGGUUGUAAAGUACUGUCAGCGGGGAGGCGUUACCCGCAGAAGAAGCACCGGCUAACUCCGUGCCAGCAGCCGCGGUAAUUC